rnacentral:misc_RNA from 1 species
GAUGAAGAACGUAGCGAAAUGCGAUAAGUAAUGUGAAUCGCAGAAUUCAGUGAAUCAUCGAAUCUUUGAACGCACAUUGCGCCCGCCAGCAUUCUGGCGGGCAUGCCUGUUCGAGCGUCAUUUCAACCCUCAAGCUCUGCUUGGUGUUGGGGCCCUACGGUUGACGUAGGCCCUUAAAGGUAGUGGCGGACCCUCUCGGAGCCUCCUUUGCGUAGUAACUAACGUCUCGCAUUGGGAUUCGGAGGGACUCUUGCCGUAAAACCCCCAAAUUUUCUAAUGGUUGACCUCGGAUCAGGUAGGAAUACCCGCUGAACUUAAGCAUAUCAAUAAGCGGAGGA